rnacentral:sRNA from 2 species
UUGCUAUCUGCGAUAUGGAAGAUUCGAACCUGCUGCAGGUUCGGGUCGAACGUAGUGAGACAACGGAGCCGUUUACGGCGACAGCCCGAAGGGCGAGCGAAGCGAGUCAUCCUGCACGACCCACCA